rnacentral:rRNA from 1 species
UAUUGCACAAUGGGCGCAAGCCUGAUGCAGCGACGCCGCGUGGGGGAUGAAGGCCUUCGGGUUGUAAACUCCUUUCGCUAGGGACGAAGCCUUCUUUUGGGGGUGACGGUACCUGGAUAAGAAGCACCGGCUAACCACGUGCCAGCAGCCGCGGUAAUACGUAGGGUGCAAGCGUUGUCCGGAAUUACUGGGCGUAAAGGGCUCGUAGGGGGUUUGUCGCGUCGUCUGUGAAAUUCCGGGGCUUAACUCCGGGCGUGCAGGCGAUACGGGCAUAACUUGAGUGCUGUAGGGGAGACUGGAAUUCCUGGUGUAGCGGUGAAAUGCGCAGAUAUCAGGAGGAACACCGAUGGCGAAGGCAGGUCUCUGGGCAGUAACUGACGCUGAGGAGCGAAAGCAUGGGUAGCGAACAGG